rnacentral:rRNA from 1 species
GAUGAACGCUGGCGGCGUGCUUAAUACAUGCAAGUCGAGCGAACAGCCGUGGAACCUGCUUCCCAGCAGUUAGAGGCGGAAGGGUGAGUAAAACGUGGAUAAACUCUCUAUAAGACAGGGAUAAAUUAGGGAAACAGGAGCUAUAAUCGGACAUACUAUUGAACCGCAUGGUUCAAUAGUGAAAGAAGGUUUCGUCUAUACAUAUAGAUGCACUCGCGCCGCAUUAGCUAGUUGGUAAGGUAACGGCUUACCAAGGCAACGAUCCGUAGCCGACCUGAGAGAGGGAUCGGCCACACUGGAACUGGGACACGGUCCAGACUCCUACGGGAGGCGGCAGUAGGGAAUCUUCCGCAAUGAGCGAAAUCUUGACGGGGCAACGCCGCGUGAUGGAUGAGGGUCUUCGGAUCGUAAGACUCUGUUAUUAGGGAAGAACGAAUGUGUGAGAAUCGAUGCACGUCUUGACGGUACCGAAACAGAAAGCCACGGCUAACUACGUG